rnacentral:rRNA from 1 species
GAUGAACGCUGGCUACAGGCUUAACACAUGCAAGUCGAGGGGAAACGACGGGGAAGCUUGCUUCCCCGGGCGUCGACCGGCGCACGGGUGAGUAACGCGUAUCCAACCUGCCUCUGACUGAGGGAUAACCCGUCGAAAGUCGGCCUAAUACCUCAUGGCAUCGUCUGCGGGCAUCCAACGACGAUUAAAGAUUUCAUCGGUCAGAGAUGGGGAUGCGUCUGAUUAGCUUGUUGGCGGGGUAACGGCCCACCAAGGCGACGAUCAGUAGGGGUUCUGAAAGGAAGGGCCCCCACAUUUGAACUGAGACACGGUCCAAACUCCUACGGGAGGCAGCAGUGAGGAAUAUUGGUCAAUGGGCUAGAGCCUGAUCCAGCCAAGUAGCGUGCAGGAGGACGGCCCUAUGGGUUGUAAACUGCUUUUAUGCGGGGAUAAAGUGAGGGACGUGUCCUUCAUUGCAGGUACCGCAUGAAUAAGGACCGGCUAAUUCCGUG